rnacentral:sRNA from 1 species
UAAUUAUAAUUUUUUGGAAAGUAGUUUAAAUUGAUAUAAAUCUUUAUAUCUCGUAUAGGGGUGUUAAAAUAGGUCAAAAUUUAUGGGUCAACUCAACUCAACUCAACCCAUGAACCCUAAUGAGUUAAAUUUUUUUGACUCAAAUGAGUUAAUGGGUCAAAUGAGUUAUUGGGUCAAUUGGUUUGAUGAGUCAAAUGAGUUGGGUUGUAAUGGUUAAUGGUUUCAAUGGUUUACUCAAUUAACCCAUCAAAUUUUAUAAAAUUGAAUUAAACCAACUAAAAUCUCUAAACCAAUGUCAAUUUAAGCUUAACCAACACAUCUAAAACAAUUUAAUAAAAUCAAUAUUUUUCCAAAUUUCUUAAAUAUACAAGCGAUGAAAUUGAGAAAAAGUAAACUCGUAAUUUUUCCACCAAAAAACAUAAACCCGUGAUUUUCUCGCCAACAACGUAAACCCGUGAUUUUCCCGCCAAAAACGUAAAACCGUGAUUUUUCCGCAAAAAACGUAAAUCCGUAAUUUUCCCAUCAAAAAACAAAACCUGUGAUUUUUCCGCCAAAAACGUAAACUCGUGAUUUUCCCGCCAAAAAACGUAAACUCGUGAUUUUCCCGCCAAAAACGUAAAACCGUGAUUUUCCCGCCAAAAACGUAAAUCCGUAAUUUUCCCGCCAAAAACCAAAACCUGUGAUUUUCCCGACAAAAAACGUAAACCCAUGAUUUUCCCGCCAAAAACGUAAACCCGUGAUUUUCCCGCUAAAAACGUAAACCGGUAAUUUUCCCGCCAAAAAACAAAACCUGUGAUUUUCCCGCCAAAAACAUAAACCCGUGAUUUUCCCAUCAAAAACGUAAACCCGUGAUUUUCCCGCCAAAAACGUAAACCCGUAAUUUUUCCGCCAAAAAAGGUAAACUCGUGAUUUUUCCGCAUAAACGUAAACCCAUGAUUUUCCCACCAAAAAAACGUAAAUCCGUGAUUUCCUCGCCAAAAACGUAAACCUGUAAACCUGUGAUUUUCCCACAAAAAACAUAAACCUGUGAUUUUCCCGCCAAAAACGUAAACUUAUAAUUUUCCCGCUGAAAAUGUAAAUUUGUAAAAAGUGGAAUACGUAAAUAUUCUAAGUUUGAUGAUAAUGAAUUAAUGAUUAUUAAUAAUGAUAAUUAUUUAUUAUUGUUUCAUAAUAAUAAUUAAUUAAAUUAUUACUUAAAUGGGUUAACCCAUUUAACAACUCAACCCAUCAAAUUAAAUGAGUUAUGGGUUGACCCAACCCAUUUAACACUCAUUUAACUCUAAACUCAUUUGAUUAUGAGUUGAGUUGAGUUGGGUUACCCAUUUUGACACCCCUAAUCUCGUAUCUUGCUUUAAAGCGAUAUAAUUCACACAACCAAAAUCAAUCGGCUCUUCACAAGUGGAUUUCAACUAUUUUACACAUAUGCCUUCAAAUCUCGGUAAUAUUAUAGCCUCUCGCGCCCGAGUUCCUGAUCGGUUUAUGCAUCAACAAUUGAAAGAUGAUUUGGUUGAGCAUAUAUGACAAAACUUUGGCUGAAAUCAAGCUAACAACUAAUUGUUAUUCCGGUUUUCAAUAUUUUAUAUAUGCUUUUAUGUCAU